UGGGGGAUAUUGCACAAUGGGCGAAAGCCUGAUGCAGCGACGCCGCGUGGGGGAUGAAGGCCUUCGGGUUGUAAACUUCUUUUGCUCUGAACAAGGCAUGCCUUUGGGGUGUGUUGAGUGUAGGGGUUGAUUAGCGCCGGCUAACUACGUGCCAGCAGCCGCGGUAAUACGUAGGGCGCGAGCGUUGUCCGGAAUUAUUGGGCGUAAAGGGCUUGUAGGUGGCUGGUUGCGUCUGUCGUGAAAGCUCAUGGCUUAACUGUGGGUUUGCGGUGGGUACGGGCUGGCUUGAGUGCAGUAGGGGAGGCUGGAAUUCCUGGUGUAGCGGUGGAAUGCGCAGAUAUCAGGAGGAAUACCGGUGGCGAAGGCGGGUCUCUGGGCUGUUACUGACGCUGAGGAGCGAAAGCGUGGGGAGCGAACAGG
rnacentral:rRNA from 1 species